rnacentral:rRNA from 1 species
UACGAAGGGGGCUAGCGUUGCUCGGAAUCACUGGGCGUAAAGCGCACGUAGGCGGAUCUUUUAAGUCAGGGGUGAAAUCCCGGAGCUCAACUCCGGAACUGCCUUUGAUACUGGGGAUCUUGAGUUCGAGAGAGGUGAGUGGAACUGCGAGUGUAGAGGUGAAAUUCGUAGAUAUUCGCAAGAACACCAGUGGCGAAGGCGGCUCACUGGCUCGAUAACUGGACGCGUGAGGUGCGAAAGCGUGGGGAGCAAACAGG